CCUACGGGUGGCAGCAGUGGGGAAUAUUGCGCAAUGGGCGAAAGCCUGACGCAGCGACGCCGCGUGAGGGAUGAAGGUCUUCGGAUCGUAAACCUCUGUCAGCAGGGAAGAACGGUCACUGUGCUAAUCAGCAGUGAAUUGACGGUACCUGCAAAGGAAGCACCGGCUAACUCCGUGCCAGCAGCCGCGGUAAUACGGAGGGUGCGAGCGUUAAUCGGAAUUACUGGGCGUAAAGCGCUCGUAGGCGGUAUGUCAAGUCAAGGGUGAAAUCCCCGCGCUCAACGUGGGAACUGCUUUUGAAACUGGUAAACUGGAGUGUGGGAGAGGAGAGUGGAAUUCCAGGUGUAGGAGUGAAAUGCGUAGAUAUCUGGAGGAACAUCAGUGGCGAAGGCGACUAUCUGGCACAAAACUGACGCUGAGGAGCGAAAGCGUGGGUAGCAAACAGGAUUAGAUACCCGAGUAGUC
rnacentral:rRNA from 1 species